rnacentral:lncRNA from 1 species
CCCACAUUUUGUUGGUAAGAGCAACUCACAUGGCCAUGCUUGAAUUGAAGUGGAUGGAGAAGUCAACUCCUACCAUGGGCCUGGCAUAAAGGAGACUUGAACAUCUGUGAACAGCCCGGAUGACUACCAUAAUGACACCUCACCAAGAGCCCCUGCCCACUCCAUUUCACCUGGCCCAUCGCUGCAGGACUUCCCACUGUGCAGGCAGCAGUCAAUGACUGAGCACCCCGUCUGGGCUACACAGCUGCUCCAGGUGCCAGAGAGAUCCCCAUGAACAGGACCAAGUCCACGCCCUCGUGGAGGGAACAUUCCAGAAGUGCACCAUAGGGUCAAAGGCAAUGAAGAAACUCCAAGCUCUGGGUCCGUGGGAGGCACCAGGCAAACAGAGGAGUCAGCAAGCUAAACAUGCUAUUAGCAGCGAUGGAGAAGUGAUGAUUCUCUGCACAGCUGUCAGAAGCAGCUCCCCGCCGCCUGGCACCAGCACCUGGGGAGGGGCCUCCGCUCAUCGGCCUUCACAGAGAUGCCCCAGGCUGGGAAAGAAAGACCAGCAGGCCGGACAUUCUGUGCCACCACUCCCUCGUCCUUAGCUGCAGGGAUCUUGCCCUUCAUCCAGAGACUGAGACCUGGAAGCGAGGCCCACCUCUGCACCUGCCCCCAUAGCUGGGCCUUCGUUCCUCAAACUAAUGAAAUUGAGGCUCAAGAGGUUACACGAUUUGACCAAGUCACACAACUGCAAACAAGUAGGUGUCAGUUUCCAGGAUCGAAGCCAGGAGGAAGCUCAAAGAGCAUCCAGCCCCCAUGCUGUAAAAGGGAUUCAAGGCCCAGAACCAGAAGGUGAUUAGCCUUGCAGCAGGACAGAGGGCAGACAGCACCGAAGCCCAGCUCUGCUCACUCUGCUGGGAGCACUUCCCAGGCCACUGUGGAUCUGGGCCUUGUCCUCAGCUUGGGGUGGCUGCAGGAGCAUCCUGAGGAAUGAACCCAUGCCAGAGCACUGAAGAUGCCCCCACCGCCCCCGCUGCAGACUCCUCACCCAGGUCUCUUCAUCUCAAAGGGGCUGUCAUAGAGGCCCAGGGCUGUGACCUGGAGGAACACACUCCACCUUCCUGACAUCCAGCCCGUCUAUCAUUCUAAUAGUGGAAAGGUGGGUUCCAGAGCCUGCUCAAGACACAGUGUGCAGAGCAGGGAAGGAGCCUGCCCAGGCACAAGGCAGGGGCCCCUCUCAAAGCCUCAUGCGCUGCCUGGGGCCCUUGACAACCUGAGGCCUUCCAGGAUGCUUUGAAUUCAGUCUUCUUGGCCCUGCUGCUGCCCCACUUGACAGAAGAGAGAUGGAUGGGGAGGUGAGAGGCACUGCCCGCCUAACCACCCACCACCUGUCACUUCUGCCUUUUGAAAUCACUUUCGUGGGCAGAGGCAGGGAUGCUGAUCACACCAUGUGGGAGGGACUUGGAGGGUGGGGCGGUGACUCACAGGACAGUGGGGGAUAGGAAGCAGCUCCAGAGCCUCCCUGGUAGUGAAAGGGAAGGGCGCUAGUGACUCAGGGACAGCUGGGGAGGGGUGCAUGGGGAGGGAGCUCAUUCCCCCCAGCUCUGUGCCCUGCAUGCCUGGGGGGUGACCUCCUGUGGUGGGCCCCGAUCUUGCCCCUGUGGGGCAGUCUUUGCCCUCAGCUUGCUUCCCAGCAGUAGCCAGGCACCCAGUAGCUGCAUGGUGAGUGAAUUCCAAUCUUGCCCGCUGCCGGCCAGCUGUGCAGACCUUCGGCAGGCUGAGUGCUCCUCUGCCCUCACAUCUAGGCCUGUAGAUGGAAGCAGAGCCCGACUCAUAGAGCCAAUUGCCCAUCCUGCAGCUGUGAAUGUUGCAGCUUCCAGCAGGUUCUUGCUGCAGACUUACUGAGAGGACUGAGGGCUGUGGCAGGCCACCCCAGCCUGCUGGGCACCCCCUUCAGGAUGGCCCCAACAAAUAGUAAAUAAAUGCCCCACUCCCAGGCCUGCUUGCUUCCGGU